CUUGGAUGGAGGCCAGGGCUGCUGCUCCUCGCUGCACGGUAUUUCCUGUAGAAUGCAGUGAGCGCUAAAGCUCAGUUAAAUGUUUGACAGAAGCCUUUCUGCUCAAAAGAGUUGUCUAGUCCAAGAGUGCUGCUAUUUUUCCAUGACUGGAUCUGCGUGCCAGUUACAGGGAAAACAUAUCUGAAAAUAUGUGCUCCUUGUGAAGGACGAA